rnacentral:rRNA from 1 species
GGCUCAGUAGGUUGGUCGUGCCACCGGUACGUACUGGUCUCACUGAUUCCUCCUUCCUGUAGAACCGUAAUGCCAUUAAUUUGGUGUUGCGGGGAAACAGGACUGUUACUUUGAAAAAAUUAGAGUGUUUAACGCAAGCUAACGCUUGAAUACAUUAGCAUGGAAUAAUGAAAUAGGACGAUCGAUCCUAUUUUGUUGGUUUCUAGGAUUGACGUA